rnacentral:rRNA from 1 species
GACGAACGCUGGAGGCGUGCUUAACACAUGCAAGUCGAACGAUGAAAUGGAGCUUGCUCCAUGGAUUAGUGGCGAACGGGUGAGUAACACGUGAAUAACCUGCCCUUAAUUUUGGAAUAACCCAGGGAAACCUGGGCUAAUACCGGAUAAGUAAACCUGUGGCAUCACAUGGUUUUGGAAAGUUUUUCGAUUAAGGAUGGAUUCGCGGCCUAUCAGCUUGUUGGUGAGGUAAUGGCUCACCAAGGCGACGACGGGUAGCCGGCCUGAGAGGGUGAACGGCCACACUGGGACUGAGACACGGCCCAGACUACUACGAGAGGCAGCAGUGGAGAAUAUUGCGCAAUGGACGAAAGUCUGACGCGGCGAGGCCUCGUGAGGGACGAAGGUCUUCGGAUUGUAAACCUCUUUCAGCAGGGACGAAGCGAAAGUGACGGUACCUGCAGAAGAAGCACCGGCUAACUAUGUGCCAGCCGCCGCAGUAA